UCAGUUGCAAUUUAUAUGACAAAAUUCCUAUUUGGGGACAUUGCAAAAUGUUCCGUUCUAUUUCAAUAUAGCUUAAUCCACUGGACUUUUGAGAUUUCAAAUUUUGAUGUGAUUCCUGCUUUGAUAACAUUCCUUUUUAGCCAAGGGUCUCUAUCGAAAACAGCCUCCCUACCCCACAAAGGUAGGGGUAAUGUAUGCGUACAUUCUACCCUCCCCAGACCCUACUUGUGGGAUAUUACACUGGGUAUGUUGUUGUUGUAAAUUCUGAUGUGAUUUUUUCUCUAUUAAACUAACUUUUCAACAAUCACGUUAGAGCUUUCUUCUAUUGCCACUAAUAUAAUCUAAAGUCAAAUUAUCAUGUUGAACUACUCCAUUCCUAACCAAAUAUUGUCAUAUGAACACAAAUAUGGAAUGUAUUUUUUCUUUAAAACAAAAAAAAAAAGCAUUUUCUAUCCAAACAGUGCCUUAGAUAGUCAGAAGUGAAUAUGAGAAGAAGAACAACAACAAACACAACAACAUACCAAGUGAAAUCCCACAAGUGACGUCUGGGGAGGGUAGAGUGUAGAGUGUAUGUAGGCUUUACCAUUACCUCGUGGAGGUAGAGAGGUUGUUUCCGGUUGACUCAUGGCUCAAGUGCAGCAAUUUCAGGUAUAAAGAAGAAAACAGUGACGAAAAACAUAACAACUAAUAAGAAUCCUACAAAAAAAGAACAUGAACAACAACAAAAUAGUGCAGUAGGCGGAACACAAUAAGCAAAUGAAUAUGCAUAUCAAAAACUACAACUAUAAGAAUACCAAUAAGCUUGAACCAUCGAAAGCACAACAGUUCACUAGCUAAUAAUCUUCUACCCUAAUAGGCGGUCUCCAUUCCCUCUCCCUCUUAUCUAAGGUCAGAAGCUGCAUCAUGUCGUGUCUAAUCACUUUUCCUUAAUACUUUUUUCGGCCUACCUCUAGCUCUACCUCUCCUUCGUGACUACUACAUCCAACCCCUCCGCAUCUCCGCUGACGAAUAUGAGAAGAGACUUUAGAAAUUCAAAUUUUAAUUUGUUACUGUACAUAGGAAUCAUACGAGUGCUGAAGUGAAGGUAAGUAUUCGUUACCGAAAUCCAAAAGUUGGAAUUGCAAAUUAAACUGGGCAGUGCCUGCAACAAGCCUAUCCAGACAACAGAGGCAGCUUGACAGUUUGUCCUAUUAUGCUGAUCAAGUUGAAUUCCUGAUUCAAAUCAAAGAGUUAUUGAUUCAAGCUUUUCUCAAUCAAUUGCCGACAGAGAAAAUCUUUUCAAAGAGUCUAUGUAGUUGUAUUUUGUUGAAAAAGCUUUGAUAAGAACUUUAAAAGCUCUCCAGAAAAGAAAUUAAGAGAUCCCAUUAUUCCCAGUUUCCCAUUGCCUACAUCCCUGAAAAGACUGUCCAUGGAAAUUCCCUCGAUGACACAGAGAAGACUGCGUCAAUCCUGCCAUCAUGGUGUGCCUAAAACAAAAAUUUGUUACAUAAUUGGUUACUGUCAGUUGCAAUUCAUAUGACACAAGUCCUAUUUGGGGACAUUGCAAAAUGUUCUGUUCUAUUUCAAUACAGCUAAAUCCAGUGAACUUUUGAGAUUUCAAAUUUUGAUGUGAUUCCUGCUUUGAUAACAUUCCUUUUGAGCCGAGGGUCUCUAUCAAAAACAACCUCCCUACCUCACAAAGGUAGGGGUAAUGUAUGCGUACAUCCUACCCUCCCCAGACCCUACUUGUGGGAUAUUACACUAGGUAUGUUGUUGUUGUUGUAAAUUCUGAUGUGAU
rnacentral:lncRNA from 1 species